GACGAACGCGGCGGCGUGCCUAAUACAUGCAAGUAGAACGCUGAAGGAGGAGCUUGCUUCUCUGGAUGAGUUGCGAACGGGUGAGUAACGCGUAGGUAACCUGCCUGGUAGCGGGGGAUAACUAUUGGAAACGAUAGCUAAUACCGCAUAAUAGUAGAUGUUGCAUGACAUUUACUUAAAAGGUGCAAUUGCAUCACUACCAGAUGGACCUGCGUUGUAUUAGCUAGUUGGUGGGGUAACGGCUCACCAAGGCGACGAUACAUAGCCGACCUGAGAGGGUGAUCGGCCACACUGGGACUGAGACACGGCCCAGACUCCUACGGGAGGCAGCAGUAGGGAAUCUUCGGCAAUGGACGGAAGUCUGACCGAGCAACGCCGCGUGAGUGAAGAAGGUUUUCGGAUCGUAAAGCUCUGUUGUAAGAGAAGAACGAGUGUGAGAAGUGGAAAAGUUCACCACUGUGACGG
rnacentral:rRNA from 1 species